UGCAGUUAAAAAGCUCGUAGUUGGAUUUCGGACUGGUGCAGUUUGGUCUGCCGCAAGGUGUGUUACUGAACUGUGCUGUCUUCUUCUCAGAGUCCUGCUGUGCACUUGAUUGUGUGCAGUAUUUUGGAAUUUGAGACGUUUACUUUGAAAAAAUUAGAGUGUUCAAAGCAGGCCUUGUUAUGCCCGAAUACAUGAGCAUGGAAUAAUGGAAUAGGACUACGGUCUUAUUUUGUUGGUUUCUGAGACCGAAGUAAUGAUUAAGAGGGACAAUUGGGGGCAUCCGUAUUUCGUUGUCAGAGGUGAAAUUCUUGGAUUUACGAAAGACGAACAACUGCGAAAGCAUUU
rnacentral:rRNA from 1 species